rnacentral:rRNA from 1 species
UACGUAGGGGGCAAGCGUUGUCCGGAUUUGUUGGGCGUAAAGAGCGUGUAGGCGGCCAGACAGGUCCGUUGUGAAAACUCGAGGCUCAACCUCGAGAUGUCGAUGGAAACCGUCUGGCUAGAGUCCGGAAGAGGAGUGUGGAAUUCCUGGUGUAGCGGUGAAAUGCGCAGAUAUCAGGAAGAACACCUAUGGCGAAGGCAGCACUCUGGGACGGUACUGACGCUGAGACGCGAAAGCGUGGGGAGCGAACAGG